rnacentral:miRNA from 1 species
GCCCAUCGCUUAUCGCCCCAAC